AUGCUCUUAUGCAUCAGAGAAUAAUCACUCGUCGCAAUUCGUAUUAUAGAACAUUUAUUUCACUGUUUGUUUUUGUGAUUGAUUGAUUGAGAGAGAGAGAGAGAGAGAGAGAGAGAGAGAGAGAGAGUGGGUGUGGCCUGUGUAAAGUGUCUCUCACCUGUGGGUAUUAUGUAGAUAGUGGGUGGACAUUGAAAUAUAGUCUUGGAUGAAGACUAUAACCAUUUGAUUGAAAAUCUAUUUUGAAAGCUUUUUUUCAUAGAA